rnacentral:misc_RNA from 1 species
AACGCAUAUUGCACUAUCUUUCGGGAUAGUAUGCCUGUUUGAGAAUCUAUAGUAUUCAUUUUUAUAUUUUUUUUAUUAUAUAUUAUAUAAUGAGAAAUUUAUAAAAGAUUUGAAGUGUUCCCACUAAAAAUUUAUUUUUAUAGGGUACUUUUAAUAUUAUAGUUUUGAUUUUUAUUAGAAAUGUUUGAGUUUUCUCUAUAAAAUUUCAACAGAAAAGUAUUUGAAUGAGACCUCUUUUAUUAGAGAUUUCUAACUUUUGCCUAUUAAGUUGAAAAAGAGUAAAUGAGUUUCUAUUUAAAAUGAUAAAUUCAUACCCAUUUAUUAAAGGAAUUUUUUUUUAUAAAGACUUUAUACUCUUAAAAAAAAAGAAUUUCUUUGAACCAUGGUCUCAAAUCAGGUAGGAAGACCCGCUGAACUUAA